rnacentral:rRNA from 1 species
UACGUAGGUGGCAAGCGUUGUCCGGAAUUAUUGGGCGUAAAGCGCGCGCAGGUGGUUCCUUAAGUCUGAUGUGAAAGCCCACGGCUCAACCGUGGAGGGUCAUUGGAAACUGGGGAACUUGAGUGCAGAAGAGGAAAGUGGAAUUCCAAGUGUAGCGGUGAAAUGCGUAGAGAUUUGGAGGAACACCAGUGGCGAAGGCGACUUUUUGGUCUGUAACUGACACUGAGGCGCGAAAGCGUGGGGAGCAAACAGG